rnacentral:rRNA from 1 species
UACGGAGGGUGCGAACGUUAAUCGGAAUCACUGGGCGUAAAGCGCGCGUAGGCGGUUCGUUAAGUGGGAUGUGAAAUCCCCGGGCUUAACCUGGGAAUUGCAUUUCAAACUGGCCGACUAGAGUACGGUAGAGGGAGGUAGAAUUUCCUGUGUAGCGGUGAAAUGCGUAGAUAUAGGAAGGAAUAUCAGUGGCGAAGGCGGCCUCCUGGCUCGAUACUGACGCUGAGGCGCGAAAGCGUGGGGAGCAAACAGG